GCGACUCAAACCGUCUCCUGGUUGUGAGCCGUGGGUGUGAUACUCCGACGGCGAGGACCGAACCCAGUCCCGGCCGUCGUCAUUGGAGGAUGGAGGAUAUGGAAAACCCCCUUCCUCUCCUCCGCUCAGGCUCCCCGCGACUGUGUCGGCAGGGUAGGAUUGGUGGUCGCGGCAGAGCUCGGGUGCAGGGCGUCGCCAGCGCUGAUGGGUGCCUCCGUCGCGCCGUUUAGAAUCGGUGUACUGCUCUGCUGCCUUGGGCGUCCACGCUGUCACACAGACCAUACCUCUCAGUGUCCGUGGAGUGGCCGCACGCCAACCUCAGCGACACUGAUGCUGAAUUGCAGUAACUUACUGCGCUUGCCUCUGAAUUCUAAAAUUCUGAAUUGCUUGUAACUUAAGACGACACCCAUCUGCCUGGGGUUCUGUCAUCAUGGCAAUUUUUGGGCGUUCCUACAGCAUUUGAAUCCAACACAGAAGAGAGGGCAUUAGCUAGUGCUAAAAAUGUAGUGCGAUUUGGCCUAGCUUCCAUCAACUCGAAUGCCCAGGACAUGUCACAAUCUUUAAAAAACAAUUAGGAGACUGAAAAGAUUUAGAGUUUUCGCCCCCAGGUUGAAUCUUUAUUGACUUGUGUCUUCUUGUCAUGGUUUGUUUCUGAUUACUACUAGCUUGUUCUAAUCUUGACUGUUGGCAUGCAUAACCUUCAUUACUGACUGAAUUCCCAGCUACAAAUUACUACCUCGGUACCAAAAUAUAAGACGUUUUGUACAAAUUUUGUCACAGAUGUAAAUUAUCAGGUUAAGCUUUUAUGCACAUAAUCUUAGAGGUUUAUCUUUAUUCAAGGAAUAGAAAAAUCAGAAGUAUAAUGUUCCUUUUCUUGUACAAUUUGCUCAUUUUGAUAAUUUACAUACUUCUGUUACUUUUUUCUAUGUUUGGUUUACCGCUUCCUUCGGUUGGAGAAAGUACAAUGCUAAUUUUACAGUGCAGAAUGUUACUAAAUAAAUCAAUGAUUGUUCUCAUAAUGGUCUGGUAAGGCUAUAUAGGCCUACUCAACAAAUCACAAAAUGGAGAAGAGGAAGCUGAGCCCCACUCUUUUUAUAUCAAGGAGCGAGGUUUUUUGUUUUGAUUUUUUUAAACCUUCACCUUUUACGGGUUUGUAGGGAAAGUUUCUGGCCCAAUUGACUAUAAUACUAGUACCAUGGCAUACCAUUUUUGGUUUGUACUGAUCGAAAGGCAAAUUACAGGUUAAUUAGGGAAUGCUACUGUAAUCACACAUCUCAUAGGCAUUUAGAUUCUAGCGUAAGACUGCAACAACAUUACUACAUGAAAACACAUUUAUGCUUUCACAUAUCUGUUGGCAUCUCACCUUGAUUUCUUUUUGAAAUUUGCUCAGGAACUAAAUAAUUUUCUUGUUCAUUGCAUGUCUAACUUGUUAUGCCCACUCAUUGAAUUUGCAGCAUUUGAAUCCAACACAGAAGAGAGGGCAUUAGCUAGUGCUAAAAAUGUAGUGCGAUUUGGCCUAGCUUCCAUCAACUCGAAUGCCCAGGACAUGUCACAAUCUUCUUCCUCUCUACAAACAUCAAUCCUGGAGGUGCGGAAGAGCAUGUGUACUACAAAAAAAAGGGCAACCUGGUGCAUGUAGCUCCCGCUUGCGCAGGGUCCAGGGAAGGGUCCGACCACUUUGGGUCUAUAGUACACAGCCUUUCCCUACAUUUCUGUAAGAGGCUGUUUCCAGGACUUGAACCCAUGACCUCAUGGUCACAAGGCAGUAGCUUUACCACUGCGCCAAGGCUCCCCUUCAGCAUGUGUACUACAGCCCAGCAAAAAGAAAAGAUCCAUUGCCACUGCUACUACAAGAAGAUUAAGUAGAAUAAGAAAAAAAAAAUCUUGUUAUGGUUGCUGCUUAAUUACCACUGAAUUUAUUCAUUUGUUCAUGUCA